CCUACGGGAGGCAGCAGUGAGGAAUAUUGGUCAAUGGCCGGGAGGCUGAACCAGCCAAGUCGCGUGAGGGAAGACGGCCCUACGGGUUGUAAACCUCUUUUGUCAGGGAGCAAGGUGCAGGUCGGGACCUGCUUUGAGUGUACCUGAAGAAAAAGCAUCGGCUAACUCCGUGCCAGCAGCCGCGGUAAUACGGAGGAUGCGAGCGUUAUCCGGAUUUAUUGGGUUUAAAGGGUGUGUAGGCGGGAGAGCAAGUCUGACGUGAAAUUCCAGGGCUCAACCCUGGACCUGCGGUGGAAACUGUUCUUCUUGAGUGAUGGAGAGGCAGGCGGAAUUCGGUGUGUAGCGGUGAAAUGCGUAGAUAUACGGAGGAACACCAGUGGCGAAGGCGGCCUGCUGGA
rnacentral:rRNA from 1 species